CAAGUCGAGCGAGCGGAACCACAGAUUUACUUCGGUAAUGACGUUGGGAAAGCGAGCGGCGGAUGGGUGAGUAACACGUGGGGAACCUGCCCCUAAGUCUGGGAUACCAUUUGGAAACAGGUGCUAAUACCGGAUAAUAAAGCAGAUCGCAUGAUCAGCUUUUGAAAGGCGGCGUAAGCUGUCGCUAAGGGAUGGCCCCGCGGUGCAUUAGCUAGUUGGUAAGGUAACGGCUUACCAAGGCGACGAUGCAUAGCCGAGUUGAGAGACUGAUCGGCCACAUUGGGACUGAGACACGGCCCAAACUCCUACGGGAGGCAGCAGUAGGGAAUCUUCCACAAUGGACGCAAGUCUGAUGGAGCAACGCCGCGUGAGUGAAGAAGGUUUUCGGAUCGUAAAGCUCUGUUGUUGGUGAAGAAGGAUAGAGGUAGUAACUGGCCUUUAUUUGACGGUAAUCAACCAGAAAGUCACGGCUAACUACGUGCCAGCAGCCGCGGUAAUACGUAGGUGGCAAGCGUUGUCCGGAUUUAUUGGGCGUAAAGCGAGCGCAGGCGGAAAAAUAAGUCUAAUGUGAAAGCCCUCGGCUUAACCGAGGAACUGCAUCGGAAACUGUUUUUCUUGAGUGCAGAAGAGGAGAGUGGAACUCCAUGUGU
rnacentral:rRNA from 1 species